CUACGGGAGGCAGCAGUGGGGAAUAUUGGACAAUGGGCGAAAGCCUGAUCCAGCCAUGCCGCGUGUGUGAAGAAGGCCUUUUGGUUGUAAAGCACUUUAAGCAGUGAAGAAGACUCUAUGGUUAAUACCCAUAGACGAUGACAUUAGCUGCUAGAAUAAGCACCGGCUAACUCUGUG
rnacentral:rRNA from 1 species